UUAAGUUAGAAAGGGCGCACGGUGGAUGCCUUGACACUAGGAGUCGAUGAAGGACGGGACUAACGCCGAUAUGCUUCGGGGAGCUGUAAGUAAGCUUUGAUCCGAAGAUUUCCGAAUGGGGAAACCCACCAUACGUAAUGGUAUGGUAUCCUUAUCUGAAUACAUAGGGUAAGGAAGACAGACCCAGGGAACUGAAACAUCUAAGUACCUGGAGGAAGAGAAAGCAAAUGCGAUUUCCUGAGUAGCGGCGAGCGAAACGGAACAUAGCCCAAACCAAGAGGCUUGCCUCUUGGGGUUGUAGGACAUUCUAUACGGAGUUACAAAGGAACGAGGUAGACGAAGCGACCUGGAAAGGUCCGUCGUAGAGGGUAACAACCCCGUAGUCGAAACUUCGUUCUCUCUUGAAUGUAUCCUGAGUACGGCGGAACACGUGAAAUUCCGUCGGAAUCUGGGAGGACCAUCUCCCAAGGCUAAAUACUCCCUAGUGAUCGAUAGUGAACCAGUACCGUGAGGGAAAGGUGAAAAGCACCCCGGAAGGGGAGUGAAAGAGAUCCUGAAACCGUGUGCCUACAAAUAGUCAGAGCCCGUUAACGGGUGAUGGCGUGCCUUUUGUAGAAUGAACCGGCGAGUUACGAUCCCGUGCGAGGUUAAGCUGAAGAGGCGGAGCCGCAGCGAAAGCGAGUCUGAAUAGGGCGUUUAGUACGUGGUCGUAGACCCGAAACCAGGUGAUCUACCCAUGUCCAGGGUGAAGUUCAGGUAACACUGAAUGGAGGCCCGAACCCACGCACGUUGAAAAGUGCGGGGAUGAGGUGUGGGUAGCGGAGAAAUUCCAAUCGAACCUGGAGAUAGCUGGUUCUCCCCGAAAUAGCUUUAGGGCUAGCCUUAAGUGUAAGAGUCUUGGAGGUAGAGCACUGAUUGGACUAGGGGUCCUCAUCGGAUUACCGAAUUCAGUCAAACUCCGAAUGCCAAUGACUUAUCCUUAGGAGUCAGACUGCGAGUGAUAAGAUCCGUAGUCAAAAGGGAAACAGCCCAGACCGCCAGCUAAGGUCCCAAAGUGUGUAUUAAGUGGAAAAGGAUGUGGAGUUGCUUAGACAACUAGGAUGUUGGCUUAGAAGCAGCCACCAUUUAAAGAGUGCGUAAUAGCUCACUAGUCGAGUGACUCUGCGCCGAAAAUGUACCGGGGCUAAAUACACCACCGAAGCUGCGGAUAGAUACCAAUGGUAUCAGUGGUAGGGGAGCGUUCUAAGGACAGUGAAGUCAGACCGGAAGGACUGGUGGAGUGCUUAGAAGUGAGAAUGCCGGUAUGAGUAGCGAAAGACGGGUGAGAAUCCCGUCCACCGAAUGCCUAAGGUUUCCUGAGGAAGGCUCGUCCGCUCAGGGUUAGUCAGGACCUAAGCCGAGGCCGACAGGCGUAGGCGAUGGACAACAGGUUGAUAUUCCUGUACCACCUCUUUAUCGUUUGAGCAAUGGAGGGACGCAGAAGGAUAGAAGAAGCGUGCGAUUGGUUGUGCACGUCCAAGCAGUUAGGCUGAUAAGUAGGCAAAUCCGCUUAUCGUAAAGGCUGAGCUGUGAUGGGGAAGCUCCUUAUGGAGCGAAGUCUUUGAUUCCCCGCUGCCAAGAAAAGCUUCUAGCGAGAUAAAAGGUGCCUGUACCGCAAACCGACACAGGUAGGCGAGGAGAGAAUCCUAAGGUGUGCGAGAGAACUCUGGUUAAGGAACUCGGCAAAAUGACCCCGUAACUUCGGGAGAAGGGGUGCUUUCUUAACGGAAAGCCGCAGUGAAUAGGCCCAAGCGACUGUUUAGCAAAAACACAGCUCUCUGCGAAGCCGUAAGGCGAAGUAUAGGGGGUGACACCUGCCCGGUGCUGGAAGGUUAAGGAGAGGGGUUAGCGUAAGCGAAGCUCUGAACUGAAGCCCCAGUAAACGGCGGCCGUAACUAUAACGGUCCUAAGGUAGCGAAAUUCCUUGUCGGGUAAGUUCCGACCCGCACGAAAGGUGUAACGAUUUGGGCACUGUCUCAACCAGAGACUCGGUGAAAUUAUAGUACCUGUGAAGAUGCAGGUUACCCGCGACAGGACGGAAAGACCCCGUGGAGCUUUACUGUAGCCUGAUAUUGAAUUUUGGUACAGUUUGUACAGGAUAGGCGGGAGCCUUUGAAACCGGAGCGCUAGCUUCGGUGGAGGCGCUGGUGGGAUACCGCCCUGACUGUAUUGAAAUUCUAACCUACGGGUCUUAUCGACCCGGGAGACAGUGUCAGGUGGGCAGUUUGACUGGGGCGGUCGCCUCCUAAAGUGUAACGGAGGCGCCCAAAGGUUCCCUCAGAAUGGUUGGAAAUCAUUCGUAGAGUGCAAAGGCAUAAGGGAGCUUGACUGCGAGACCUACAAGUCGAGCAGGGACGAAAGUCGGGCUUAGUGAUCCGGUGGUUCCGCAUGGAAGGGCCAUCGCUCAACGGAUAAAAGCUACCCCGGGGAUAACAGGCUUAUCUCCCCCAAGAGUCCACAUCGACGGGGAGGUUUGGCACCUCGAUGUCGGCUCAUCGCAUCCUGGGGCUGUAGUCGGUCCCAAGGGUUGGGCUGUUCGCCCAUUAAAGCGGUACGCGAGCUGGGUUCAGAACGUCGUGAGACAGUUCGGUCCCUAUCCGUCGUGGGCGUAGGAAAUUUGAGAGGAGCUGUCCUUAGUACGAGAGGACCGGGAUGGACGCACCGCUGGUGUACCAGUUGUUCUGCCAAGGGCAUAGCUGGGUAGCUAUGUGCGGAAGGGAUAAGUGCUGAAAGCAUCUAAGCAUGAAGCCCCCCUCAAGAUGAGAUUUCCCAUAGCGUAAGCUAGUAAGAUCCCUGAAAGAUGAUCAGGUUGAUAGGUUCGAGGUGGAAGCAUGGUGACAUGUGGAGCUGACGAAUACUAAUAGAUCGAGGACUUAACCAU
rnacentral:rRNA from 1 species